GGAAUUCCCGGUGUAGCGGUGGAAUGCGUAGAUAUCGGGAGGAACACCAGUGGCGAAGGCGGCCUACUGGGCACCAACUGACGCUGAGGCUCGAAAGUGUGGGUAGCAAACAGGAUUAGAUACCCUGGUAGUCCACACCGUAAACGAUGAUUACUAGGUGUUGGAGGAUUGACCCCUUCAGUGCCGCAGUUAACACAAUAAGUAAUCCACCUGGGGAGUACGACCGCAAGGUUGAAACUCAAAGGAAUUGACGGGGGCCCGCACAAGCAGUGGAGUAUGUGGUUUAAUUCGACGCAACGCGAAGAACCUUACCAAGUCUUGACAUCCCUUGACGAACAUAGAAAUAUGUUUUCUCUUCGGAGCAAGGAGACAGGUGGUGCAUGGUUGUCGUCAGCUCGUGUCGUGAGAUGUUGGGUUAAGUCCCGCAACGAGCGCAACCCUUAUGGUCAGUUACUACGCAAGAGGACUCUGGCCAGACUGCCGUUGACAAAACGGAGGAAGGUGGGGAUGACGUCAAAUCAUCAUGCCCUUUAUGACUUGGGCUACACACGUACUACAAUGGCGUUAAACAAAGAGAAGCAAGACCGCGAGGUGGAGCAAAACUCAGAAACAACGUCCCAGUUCGGACUGCAGGCUGCAACUCGCCUGCACGAAGUCGGAAUUGCUAGUAAUCGUGGAUCAGCAUGCCACGGUGAAUACGUUCCCGGGCCUUGUACACACCGCCCGUCACACCAUGAGAGCCGGGGGGACCCGAAGUCGGUAGUCUAACCGCAAGGAGGACGCCGCCGAAGGUAAAACUGGUGAUUGGGGUGAAGUCGUAACAAGGUAGCCGUAGGAGAACCUGCGGCUG
rnacentral:rRNA from 1 species